rnacentral:rRNA from 1 species
UACGUAGGUGGCAAGCGUUGUCCGGAAUUAUUGGGCGUAAAGCGCGCGCAGGCGGUUUCUUAAGUCUGAUGUGAAAGCCCGGGGCUUAACCCCGGGUCUGCAGUGGAUACGGGCAGGCUAGAGGUAGGUAGGGGAGAAUGGAAUUCCCGGUGUAGCGGUGAAAUGCGCAGAUAUCGGGAGGAACACCGGUGGCGAAGGCGGUUCUCUGGGCCUUACCUGACGCUGAGGAGCGAAAGCGUGGGGAGCGAACAGG